GACGAACGCUGGCGGCGUGCCUAAUACAUGCAAGUAGAACGCUGAAGAGAGGAGCUUGCUCUUCUUGGAUGAGUUGCGAACGGGUGAGUAACGCGUAGGUAACCUGCCUUGUAGCGGGGGAUAACUAUUGGAAACGAUAGCUAAUACCGCAUAACAAUGGAUGACACAUGUCAUUUAUUUGAAAGGGGCAAUUGCUCCACUACAAGAUGGACCUGCGUUGUAUUAGCUAGUAGGUGAGGUAAUGGCUCACCUAGGCGACGAUACAUAGCCGACCUGAGAGGGUGAUCGGCCACACUGGGACUGAGACACGGCCCAGACUCCUACGGGAGGCAGCAGUAGGGAAUCUUCGGCAAUGGGGGCAACCCUGACCGAGCAACGCCGCGUGAGUGAAGAAGGGUUUCGGACCGUAAAGCUCUGUUGUAAGUCAAGAACGGGUGUGAGAGUGGAAAGUUCACACUGUGACGGUAGCUUACCAGAAAGGGACGGCUAACUACGUG
rnacentral:rRNA from 1 species